UUUCCAGUUCAGCCUCUCCCUGGAGAGAACACAAGUGCACCAGUCCAUCAAUGACCAGGGCUGCUCUGAGGUCCUGUCUUCCAUGGUACAUCCCAAGUGAUGCCCUGAUAGCCUCCUUUAUAGCUGGAGGCAUCUUCCCUUAUUCCAGCCAGGAGGGCAGAGCACAGGCCCAUCUAAAAAAGCCCAAGACAGGAGGUCUGUGAGCAACCCGCUCAAAAACCGGCCUCUGCUCAAUCCAGUUGCACAAGUACGUGGAGGGUUGGGCUGGGCUGUGUCCCGGCCCUUCAGGA